rnacentral:rRNA from 1 species
GAUGAACGCUGGCGGCGUGCCUAAUACAUGCCAGUCGAGCGAACGGACGCGAAGCUUGCUUUUCUGAUGUUAGCGGCGGACGGGUGAGUAACACGUGGAUAACCUACCUAUAAGUCUGGGAUAACUUCGGGAAACCGGAGCUAAUACCGGAUAAUAUUUUGAACCGCAUGGUUCAAAAGUGAAAGACGGUCUUGCUGUCACUUAUAGAUGGAUCCGCGCUGCAUUAGCUAGUUGGUAAGGUAACGGCUUACCAAGGCAACGAUGCAUAGCCGACCUGAGAGGGUGAUCGGCCACACUGGAACUGAGACACGGUCCAGACUCCUACGGGAGGCAGCAGUAGGGAAUCUUCCGCAAUGGGCGAAAGCCUGACGGAGCAACGCCGCGUGAGUGAUGAAGGUCUUCGGAUCGUAAAACUCUGUUAUUAGGGAAGAACAUAUGUGUAAGUAACUGUGCACAUCUUGACGGUACCUAAUCAGAAAGCCACGGCUAACUACGUG